AGUUAACGUUGGCGGCGUGCCUAACACAUGCAAGUCGAACGCGUCCUAAGGGCAACUUUAGGAUGAGUGGCGAACGGGUGAGUAUCACGUGGGUAAUCUUCCUUUAAGUGGGGAAUAAGCUCUCGAAAGGGAGUCUAAUACCGCAUGACAUUCCGGGACACAAGUCCCGUAAUCAAAGCCGCAAGGCGCUUGAAGAUGAGCCUGCGUCCUAUUAGCUAGUUGGUGGGGUAACGGCCUACCAAGGCUCAGAUGGGUAGCCGGCCUGAGAGGGUGAACGGCCACACUGGGACUGAGACACGGCCCAGACUCCUACGGGAGGCAGCAGUGAGGAAUUUUGCGCAAUGGGGGAAACCCUGACGCAGCGACGCCGCGUGGAGGAUGAAGGCCUUCGGGUCGUAAACUCCUGUCAGAGGUGAAGAAUGCCCGCAAGGGUUGACGGUAACCUCAGAGGAAGCCCCGGCUAACUACGUAG
rnacentral:rRNA from 1 species